UACGUAGGCAGCGAGCGUUGUUCGGAGUUACUGGGCGUAAAGCGUGCGUAGGCGGUUGUCUAAGUUUGGUGUGAAAUCUCCUGCUUAACUGGGAGGGUGCGCCGAAUACUGCAAGGCUAGAGUACUGGAGAGGAAAGCGGAAUUCCUGGUGUAGCGGUGAAAUGCGUAGAUAUCAGGAGGAACACCGGUGGUGUAGACGGCUUUCUGGACAGUAACUGACGCUGAGACACGAAAGCGUGGGGGAGCAAACAGG
rnacentral:rRNA from 1 species